UAGAGGUGGUGGAGAUAGGAACGGAGCCAAGGUGGUGGAGGCGGGAGGCGGGAGGGAAACCAGCCGGGCA
ensembl:misc_RNA